CUAAAUGAUAGACCUACCAGGUUUCAUUUGGAGGUAGACUUACUCUCAUCAAUUCAAUGCCCACCUCGCUCCCUAUUUACUUUAUAUCUAUCAUCAAGCUCCCUACCCGGGUUGUAACAAAAAUUGAAAAGUGCAGAUGACCUUUUUAUUUGGACCCAUACCUCAGAAGCACAUAGCUUGCAAAGUCAACUAGCAAAUGGUAUAUUUGCAGGAGGAGGAAGGAGGUCCAGGGGUC
rnacentral:lncRNA from 1 species